GUACCAUCAAGUGACCCAGCGAUACCAAGGGGUUGUUGACGCGCGGACAAAACAAAAUAAAUUUGUGAACAGCAUGCAUCAAUCAAAAACCGCGAAUAAAUAUUAAAAAGACGCUGAGCAGCUAAUUAAAUACAAUAGUAAUACUAUAUUAAUAGGGAAGCAAACUAUGCUAGGAUAUAAAAAAAGAAAACAAAGUAAUACUCGAAAAAUAUGCUAAUAAUAAGAUUGAUUAUUGAUAUUAUUAUACUUCACACACAGAAGACGGAAGGGAUUAUGGUAAGCAAAGUUAGUAGUUCUAGGAAGCAUAACAGGGAGACUUGGAAAGAGCUGCCAGUCGUAAUUCCCUGUUCCGCACCAUCCCGGUGAAUAAGAUUUGAUUGAGACUGGAAACCUGAUUGGAUAACAGUUUCCUUAGUUUAAGGUGUCUUCUUGUUAUCUAGGCCUGAGCAGAAGGCUCGCAUAAAAACCUUCUCGAUUAGCAAAUCAUCUUCGUCUAGAAGUCCUAACUUCUGGACAAAACCUGUACUUAUCACAGACAUAGACGUUGUCUGCCGUCUUAGAAAGUUGAAGCAUGCUAGUGAGCUCACCACGGAGUAAUCACGGAUGUUUCUGUGUCCUGCACCGAAUUGAUUGCUGUUAUAACGCCAUUGUAUAACGAAGCGCCUGCAGCUGACAACUCAUCGAUGAGUUCAUCAAAAAUAAAGAAAAAAUUUAAAAGUGGCAUCUCGCUCGAAUGUUUAAGUGUAAGAAGUCGUUUGCGCACUGAUAGUUGCGAAGCCAAACUUUUCCGUUCGUAUACGGCAUCUAAGUUCUUGAAAACUUCACGAGCUGUGGCACCACUAGAUGCAAAACCUAAAAAUGAGUCACCCAAGUGCGACAUCCUCUGGGCCAAAACCCUUUUGAAAAAUACACCCAAUUAUAUUAAUAAAAUACACGAGCUUUCUAUUUUAA